rnacentral:rRNA from 1 species
GACGUAGGGGGCGAGCGUUGUCCGGAUUUAUUGGGCGUAAAGCGCGCGUAGGCGGCUUGGCAAGUCGGGGGUGAAAGCCCGCAGCUCAACUGCGGAACUGCCUUCGAUACUGCCGGGCUUGAGGGCGGGAGGGGUGAUUGGAACUCCAGGUGUAGCGGUGAAAUGCGUAGAUAUCUGGAGGAACACCGGAGGCGAAGGCGAAUCACUGGACCGCUUCUGACGCUGAGGCGCGAAAGCUAGGGGAGCAAACGGG